CCUGGCUCAGGAUGAACGCUGGCGGCGUGCUUAACACAUGCAAGUCGAACGGAGUUUUAAGAGGAAGCCUCGGGUGGAAUCUUAAAAACUAGUGGCGGACGGGUGAGUAACGCGUGGGUAACCAGCCUCAUACAGGGGGAUAACAGCUGGAAACGGCUGCUAAAACCGCAUAACAGUAGCGAGACCGCAUGAUCUUGCUAUCAAAGUAUUUAAAGUUCAAAGACUUUGAACUCGGUAUGAGAUGGGCCCGCGUCUGAUUAGCUAGUUGGUGGGGUAAUGGCCUACCAAGGCGACGAUCAGUAGCCGGCUUGAGAGAGUGACCGGCCACAUUGGGACUGAGACACGGCCCAAACUCCUACGGGAGGCAGCAGUGGGGAAUAUUGCACAAUGGGCGAAAGCCUGAUGCAGCGAACCGCCGCGUGAGUGAAGAAGUAUUUCGGUAUGUAAAGCUCUAUCAGCAGGGAAGAUAAUGACAGUACCUGACUAAGAAGCCCCGGCUAACUACGUGCCAGCAGCGGC
rnacentral:rRNA from 1 species